CCUACGGGAGGCAGCAGUGGGGAAUAUUGCACAAUGGGCGCAAGCCUGAUGCAGCCAUGCCGCGUGUGUGAAGAAGGCCUUCGGGUUGUAAAGCACUUUCAGCGGGGAGGAAGGCGUUAAGGUUAAUAACCUUGGCGAUUGACGUUACCCGCAGAAGAAGCACCGGCUAACUCCGUGCCAGCAGUCGCGGUAAUACGGAGGGUGCAAGCGUUAAUCGGAAUUACUGGGCGUAAAGCGCACGCAGGCGGUCUGUCAAGUCGGAUGUGAAAUCCCCGGGCUCAACCUGGGAACUGCACUCGAAACUGGCAGGCUAGAGUCUUGUAGAGGGGGGUAGAAUUCCAGGUGUAGCGGUGAAAUGCGUAGAGAUCUGGAGGAAUACCGGUGGCGAAGGCGGCCCCCUGGACAAAGACUGACGCUCAGGUGCGAAAGCGUGGGGAGCAAACAGGAUUAGAUACCCUGGUAGUC
rnacentral:rRNA from 1 species